CUACAGUGGGUAGAAUGAGAUACAGGAUUUGGUGGUCUUUUUUCUGCUACAACCGAUCCUAUCAUAUGACAUGAUAACAAAAUCUUACACCUACCGGGCAAGUGGUGGUUGCCAUCAUCAUUAGAUCGUUCCCCCGGUCCCAAAAAAACCCAUCAGGAUCCAAUCCCAACUCUCGCAUUCCAUCAAAUCCCAAUCCCGCCCCCAAAAAACCCAUCAGGAUCCAAUCCCAACUCUCGCAUUCCAUCAAAUCCCAAUCCAGAAGCACAAACAGAGAAGGGAAUCCACAGAAAGGGGAGCAAAGCUAAAAUUUCAUUUCAUUAUACGAGAGAUCAGGAACAAGAAAAGGCCAUCCAUGGUCAUCUCCUCACCAUCAGGACGCAGAACAAAACGGAGAAGAUGAAGGACCGAGCGACCGAGGUGGCGGCGUCGAAGACGGUGGCGAACCUCCGCUCUUGCAGCGCCCAGAUCGUCCCCGCGUACAUCCCCACUCUCUCCACCAUCGCCACCAAAAGCCCCAUCAGCCGACCCACACAGAAAAUUCUAGGGGAGAUGGAAUUGGAAUUUGGAGAAAGAGAUAGGGGACAGCGCCAGCUCGGGGAAUUUAUUGUGGUCUCAGAAGAAUUUGGUUUCUUUCGUUUUCGACAUUCGGAUGCCACGUCAUGGAGCAACGGAGGAUGCGUGAUAUCCGUGAGCGGGGAGGGGAUUUUCCCGGUGGGCGUCGCCGGGGAAACGUUGUUCACGCGAAGGCAACGCGGCAACCGAAGUUACCAGCGAGGAACCUGCGAAGAAAGUUACGCCUCUUUUUAACCGGAUAAUAUUAGCCGGUAUUUAAAUCUUUUUGUACGUAGUCACGGAGGGAGACAUAGUAACUUGUUGUGUCUUAAUAAGCAGGGGCCAAACUUGGAGUAAUUCCUUUGUUGGAUUAAAUUAUAAGCUCUAAAGUCACCAUAGCAGUUGGAAAAAAAAAAAAUCAUAAAUAUUUCAACAGCUUAUUUUUAUUAAACAAAUGCUGAAAGCAAUGUCUAACUCGCUAAAUGAGACUGUUACCGGCUACUUGUUGGAGUGGUUAUCAGUGAGAAAUCUAAUAGGGAGAUUACAUGGCAGCAAUGCAUCUUUUCUAUUUGAUUUUUUUGGUUACAUGGCACUAUCACUAUUUAUUACAUAUACAACGAUUUGAGCAAAUAAUGUCAUUAUCUGUAACAUUAUAUAUUAACCCUUGUAGUAGUUACUAAGGUCAUUGUGACUAUUUUAUUUGGCUCCCUUAAAAUCUAGUCCAUUGGUUGCGGCUCACACAAUGUCGAGGUUUAAUCCUCACCUUCUACCUACAGUCAUCCUAUCCAGUAGGAUCGAAGCGAGCGCCUACACAACUCAGAAUGGAAUCUUGUCCUCUUAACCGAGGGGUAAGAAAUAAUACCAUCAAAGUAAGGACUUAGUAGUCAAAUUCAUCAAAUCUUCAUUAAGUAAUGAUGUAGAGAUUGUUUUUAAUACCGAGAUAUUACCAUUAUUAAAACCUUAUUCUAGACAUAACAAUAGUAAUCUCUAAAUUGCAAAAGUUUCUUGAACUAUAGGUUGAACUUUCGUUGACGAACAACUCUACAAAAUAAUUCUUAGGUGAUUGAAUAAAUCGUCAAUAAAUCAGUAUUCACAAAUUUUAUGACAAAUUAGAAAUUCUGCUAGUGAUGUUACUAGUUAUUGUUGUUAAUGGCAAUUGUACUGCUAGUCUAUUGUUUGUUUGUUAAUAAACAUAUACACACAUUAAUAUUAUCGAAUUUUUGAUUUGUAGUGAUUUCACUAUUUAAAAUCAUUUUCAAACUUCAGCAAACUCCCUGCACUUUGCUCAAAUCCAAAUAUGAGCUCCUAGCCAAAUUGUUCCUUGAUGCUAUACUUACCAUUGUGCAAAAGCUUGGGAAAGAACUUUGCACUGCAAGUGCAACUUGAUCUUCGGACAAACACAACAUACGCUCGCAUUUGAGAUCAACAUAGAGCGUCCAUUUAAAACUGUUGAAGGUUAGCUUAUUGCAGUUCUAGCUUUAUUCAAUUUUACUCUCAUAAAAUAUAUCCCAGGACCCCGGAUUGCCGGGAUCUGGAUAGAAGUCCUUCAACAUAUCCUGUCACUAGCAACCAAACUAAGCAUCAAAUCAGGUUAAGGAAAAGAACUUCACCUAAUUAGUUCAAAGUUCCUUUCGAUAAGUCAUGCAAUAGUCAAACUAUAAUCUGCAUAAGAAAGAGCAAAGGAUUUGAACAAGGAAUCUAUCAGAUUGUUCACAAAUCUAUCUCUCUCUCUCUCACACACACACACACACAUACAAAAAUCUUAAAUGUGGAUUUCUAUGUGCCCAUAAAUUAGUGUCGAAGCAUAUCUAAACACUUGUACCGAAAAAAGGACAUAUCUAAACACUUUGACUAGGCUUAUGCCAAUCUAAGCUUAACAACCAAGUCCCUAAUUUUCCCAGUAUAAAACUGACAGUUUGCAUAAUAUGACUAUUAAGCACAGCCGCCUAUGGGAACGUCUAUCUUGGUUCAUGCAGGUUUCUUAGAAAGUUCAAACGACAUGCAUACAGUCAUUAUGUACUACGAAAGUUAUCUAUUUAGUCAACUCAUUAAACAACUCUCAUGCCAGAUUGCUAUGAAAAGAAAAGCGGAAGCGGAAAUCUAAUGGAAGUAGAAAUCUACACUAACUUGAAAUCUACACCCCGGAUAGCACUUUACAGUUUGUUGCAAAAUUUGAUCUUAAGGAGAGUCCAACCUCCCGGCCAGAAAUCAUGGACAAGAUAUCUUCCUGA